rnacentral:rRNA from 1 species
CCAGAGACUCAGUGAAAUUGAACUCUCUGUGAAGAAGAAGUGUAACCGCGGCAAGACGGAAAGACCCCGUCAACCUUUACUAUAGCUUUACACUGAACAUUGAGCCUUGAUGUGUAGGAUAGGUGGGAGGCUUUGAAGCGUCGACGCCAGUCUGCGUGGAGCCAACCUUGAAAUACCACCCUGUAAUGUGUGCUGUUCUAACGUUGGCCCCUUACCGGGGGUGCGGACAGUGUCUGGG